CUUGAGGGUCUUAAACUGCUAUGUGAAUAUGCCAUUGCACAAGAAGUUUGCGUAGACAAUGUCUCCAGCAUGUACGAAUUGUCGGAGGCAUUCCAUGCCAUGUCCCUGAGGCACACUUGUGUCAUGUUUAUUUUAGAGCAAUUCGAGAAAAUCAACUCGUCUAGGGUGCUCUCUCAUCAAAUCUAUCUCUCUUUUUUACUUCACUCUCUUGAACUCCCGAGUAUAUUUAGUGUUGAUUGCCUCGCGUUCUCAUUUGCUGAUUCUGCCUUGAUGAACUUCCGCAGGCAUUUCCAUCUAAUCCAGCGAAUAACUCCAGAGAUCCGCAACUAAUUUGUUGGAGCCUUUCUGCACCAAAUAUCUAUUUCCGAAGGGGGUUCUUUAGGCCCAUAUCUUAGUUUGUUCCAAUCUUCUCAGGAGCAUUAUUUGUUCUUAUCAUUUAUUUUGAUACCCGACAUGGUUACUCCCAAUUUUUACUAUUUUGUAGACUUGAUAUUAGUUAUUUGAAUUCGUUUGUAACUUCCAAAGCUGGAAUAAUAGAUUCAGAUUGGA